ensembl:lncRNA
AUGCAGGAGGUGCGGACCCUCCUCACUGUAGGAGCAGUGGAAGAGGUCCCCCCCGGACCUAAGGGGGAAAGGAUUCUACUCCAGGUAUUUCCUGAUUCCCAAAGCAAAAGGGGGCCUCCGUCCCAUUUUGGACCUACGCGGACUAAACAAAUUUCUGGUCAAAACACAUUUCCGUAUGGUCUCCCUUGGAGCUAUUAUCCCAUCCCUGGAUCCGGGGGAUUGGUAUGCUGCCCUCGAUAUGAAAGAUGCGUAUUUUCACAUCGCCAUCCACCCGGCCCACCGGCGGUUCCUUCGCUUCACCAUCAACCAGCGCCAUUUUCAAUUUACGGUCCUGCCCUUCGGCCUGGCAGCGGCCCCACGAGUGUUCACAAAAUGCAUGUCCGUGGUGGCAGCUUUUCUUCGGAAGAGAAGGAUGCGCGUGUACCCGUACUUGGACGACUGGCUCCUCGCGGGCAGGUCGGAGGCAGAGGUCCGCUCCCACGUGACACUGGCUCUACAGGUGUUCUGCAAGCUUGGCCUACUGGUCAGUGUGCCCAAGUCCUCACUGAUCCCCACGCAGAGACUGGACUUCAUAGGAGCAGUCCUGGACUCGGUGGCAGCGCGGGCAAGUCUUCCAGUGUCACGGUUCUUGGCCAUUCAAAGGGUCGUAGGCUCCGUCCAACAAUUUCCCACGACUACGGCCAGGUGCUGCAUGUAACUCUUGGGGCACAUGGCGGCCUGCACACAUGUAGUCAAACAUGCCCACCUAAGACUCAGGCCAUUGCAGUUGUGGCUAGCCCAAACGUAUCGCCCCAACAGAGACCCUUUAGACCUGGUGGUGACAAUCCUGGCUCGGGUGUUGAACUCCCUCCGCUGGUGGAUCGAUCAGCAGCAGGUUUGCGAGGGGAUCCCCUUCGCUGCCCCACAACCCACUCUGACGUUAGUAACAGAUGCAUCGGACCUGGGUUGGGGGGCGCACCUGGGGGACCUGUGGACCCAGGACUUGUGGUCCAGGGAAGAAAAGUUGCUUCACAUCAAUCUGAAGGAGCUAAAGGCGGUUCGCCUCGCCUGUCAGAUCUUUCACGCCACCAUAGAAGGCCACAGCGUGUCAGUUCUGAUGGACAACACUACCGCCAUGUUCUACAUAAACAAGCAGGGCGGGUCCCGAUCCUCUCCCCUCUGUCACGAGGCGCUCCGCCUAUGGGACUUCUGUAUAGCCCAUUCCAUCCACCUUAUCGCAACAUAUCUCCCAGGGGUCCAAAACGGGUUAGCAGACCGCCUCAGCCCGUCCUACCACAUGCACGAAUGGGCGUUGAGACGGGACAUCCUGCAUUCAAUCUUCCAGAGGUGGGGGUUUCCCCUGGUGGAUCUCUUCGCCACCAAGGACAACAGCCAAUGCCCUCAGUUUUGUUCUUACCAGAACCUCAGCCCGGGCUCGUUGGCAGAUGCCUUCGCGAUCCCAUGGGGCGGGAGCCUGAGGUAUGCCUUCCCUCCAUUCCCACUCAUCCACAAGGUCCUCCUCAAAACCCACAGGGACAAGGCGGCAGUCAUCCUCAUCGCCCCGGCGUGGCCACGCCAGCAUUGGUUCACGACCCUGCUGGAAUUGUCCAUAACCGCCCCGAUUGCCCUCCCCCUCCAUCGCGACCUCAUCACACAGGACCGGGGUCGCCUACUCCACCCGAACCUACCGUCGCUACAUCUCACGGCGUGGUAUCUCUCUGGCUAAGCGAUAUGGAGCAAAGGUGCUCUCACCAGGUCCAGCGAAUUCUCCUUGGUAGUAGGAAGCCUUCCACAAGAGCGACCUACCUUGCCAAAUGGAGGAGGUUCUCCCACUGGUGUGAGCCUCAUCACAUACAGUCUCUGUGGGCCUCGGUCCCAUCAAUUCUGGACUACUUGCUGGACCUCAAACGUCAAGGGCUUGCCCCCGCCUCAACUAAAGUGCAUCUGGCUGCCAUAUCGGCGUUCCAUCCUGGGGAGUUGGGAGUUUCGGUGUUCUCCAACCCCACAGUAGCACGAUUCCUCAAGGGACUGGAAAGGGUGUUUCCCUAUUCGCGCCCGCCGGUCCCUGCGUGGAAUCUCAACCUGGUCCUAACUAAACUCAUGGGGCCCCCCUUUGAACUCCUAGCCUCUUGCUCCCUCAUGCACCUUUCAUGGAAGGUAGCGUUUCUCGUGGCCAUCACAUCGGCCAGGAGGGUAUCGGAAUUGAGAGCCCUCACUUUGGAACCUCCUUAUACAGUUUUUCAUAAGGAUAAGGUGCAACUGAGGCCACAUCCUAAAUUCCUUCCAAAGGUGGUCACGCAUUUUCACAUGGGCCAAGACAUUUGUCUACCGGUGUUCUUCCCUAAGCCCCAUAUGGACCCAAGCCACCGCAGCCUGCAUACCCUCGAUGUCCGUAGGGCCUUAGCAUUUUAUCUAGAGCGGACCAGGCCAUUCCGCAAAUCAACUCAACUGUUUAUUGCCACUGCAGAGCGAAUGAGAGGCCUGCCUAUCUCAACGCAACGAUUGUCAGCAUGGAUUGUGCUUUGCAUACGCACGUGCUAUGAGCUCGCCAAUGUACCAGCCCCAGAGAUCCGGGCUCACUCGACUAGGGCCCAAGCAUCCUCAGCAGCUUUCUUGGCGCAGGUUCCACUUCAGGAAAUCUGUAAAGCGGCCACCUGGUCGUCGGUGCAUACGUUCAUAGCCCACUACGCGAUUCAUCAUCAGACCAGGGAGGACGCGGUGGUCGGCAGGGCUGUGCUUCAAUCGAUUGUUCCUUGA